rnacentral:rRNA from 1 species
CAGCCAGGAUGUUGGCUUAGAAGCAGCCAUCAUUUAAAGAAAGCGUAAUAGCUCACUGGUCGAGUCGGCCUGCGCGGAAGAUGUAACGGGGCUAAACCAUGCACCGAAGCUGCGGCAGCGACACUGUGUGUUGUUGGGUAGGGGAGCGUUCUGUAAGCCUGCGAAGGUGGCCUGUGAGGGUUGCUGGAGGUAUCAGAAGUGCGAAUGCUGACAUAAGUAACGAUAAAGCGGGUGAAAAGCCCGCUCGCCGGAAGACCAAGGGUUCCUGUCCAACGUUAAUCGGGGCAGGGUGAGUCGACCCCUAAGGCGAGGCCGAAAGGCGUAGUCGAUGGGAAACGGGUUAAUAUUCCCGUACUUGGUGUUACUGCGAAGGGGGGACGGAGAAGGCUAUGUUGGCCGGGCGACGGUUGUCCCGGUUUAAGCGUGUAGGUGUGUGUUCCAGGUAAAUCCAGUUCACUUUAACACUGAGGCGUGAUGACGAGGCACUACGGUGCUGAAGCAACAAAUGCCCUGCUUCCAGGAAAAGCCUCUAAGCAUCAGGUAACAUCAAAUCGUACCCCAAACCGACACAGGUGGUCAGGUAGAGAAUACCAAGGCGCUUGAGAGAACUCGGGUGAAGGAACUAGGCAAAAUGGUGCCGUAACUUCGGGAGAAGGCACGCUGACACGUAGGUGAAGUGAUUUACUCAUGGAGCUGAAGUCAGUCGAAGAUACCAGCUGGCUGCAACUGUUUAUUAAAAACACAGCACUGUGCAAACACGAAAGUGGACGUAUACGGUGUGACGCCUGCCCGGUGCCGGAAGGUUAAUUG